GACGUAGGGCGCGAGCGUUGUCCGGAUUUAUUGGGCGUAAAGAGCUCGUAGGCGGCUUGUCGCGUCGUCCGUGAAAACCUGCAGCUCAACUGCAGGCUUGCGGUCGAUACGGGCAUCACUGGAGUUCGGCAGGGGAGACUGGAAUUCCUGGUGUAGCGGUGAAAUGCGCAGAUAUCAGGAGGAACACCGGUGGCGAAGGCGGGUCUCUGGGCCGAUACUGACGCUGAGGAGCGAAAGCGUGGGGAGCGAACAGG
rnacentral:rRNA from 1 species